GACGAACGCUGGCGGCGUGCUUAACACAUGCAAGUCGAGCGGAGCGGCGAACGGGUGAGUAACGCGUGAGUAACUGCCCCCCUCUCUGGGAUAACAGUUGGAAACGGCUGCUAAUACCGGAUAGUGGGGGAUGACUCGCGUCCUAUCAGCUUGUUGGUGGGGUAGUGGCUUACCAAGGCGACGACGGGUAGCCGGCCUGAGAGGGCGACCGGCCACAUUGGUCUGAGAGAAGGCCCAAUCUCGUACGGGGGGCAGCAGGGGGGAAUAUUACACAAGAGGGGAAACCCUGAUGCAGCAACGCCGCGUGCGGGAUGACGGCCUUCGGGUUGUAAACCGCUUGCAGCCAUGACGCGGGAGUGGCAGAAGAAGCACCGGCUAACUACGUGCCAGCAGCCGCGGUAAUUC
rnacentral:rRNA from 1 species